rnacentral:sRNA from 1 species
UUCUGCUUUAUUGACUAUGCCAAAGCCUUUGAGUGUGUGAAUAACAAUAAACUGUAGGAAAUUCUCAAAGAGAUGGAAAUACCAGACUACCUAACCUGCCUCUUGACAAAUCUGUAUGCAGGUCAAGAAGCAAGAGUGAAAACUGGACAUGAAACAGCAAACUGGUUCCAAAGUGGGAAAGGAGCACAUCAAGGUUGUAUAUUGUUGUCGUGUUUAUUUAACUCAUAUGUGGAGUACAUCAUGAGA